UACGAAGGGGGCUAGCGUUGCUCGGAAUCACUGGGCGUAAAGGGCGCGUAGGCGGCGUUUUAAGUCGGGGGUGAAAGCCUGUGGCUCAACCACAGAAUGGCCUUCGAUACUGGGACGCUUGAGUAUGGUAGAGGUUGGUGGAACUGCGAGUGUAGAGGUGAAAUUCGUAGAUAUUCGCAAGAACACCGGUGGCGAAGGCGGCCAACUGGACCAUUACUGACGCUGAGGCGCGAAAGCGUGGGGAGCAAACAGG
rnacentral:ncRNA from 6 species